rnacentral:lncRNA from 1 species
UUAAAAUAUCAUUUCAGGUAACGUCAAAGGCAAAGAAGGUGCUCUGGCAUAUGUAAAAUGAAAAAAAAAAGGGUAUUCCUGAAAGAAGAAUGCACAUCAGUCAAAGGCAUCAAUAAAUAAAGCUCUUUUUCAUAUGUAAAUGGGAAUUUAUAAAGUAAAGAAGGGGCAUCUUCUCUGCAUGAAAUUAGUGAGCCAGAGUCAAGGGCAGAAAAAAAACAGAGACAGACAGACUUCCUCAACUUAUACACCCCACAGGGACCAGCUGACGUUGAAAAAGCAGAGAAAUGCAAGAUUAUGUGAUUUUUUUGAGGUUUCAGUAAACAGAAUAAGAGAGAGAUCUUACCAAGAAGUUGUAAGGUAG